CAGUGUAGGCCUGGUGACCUCUUGUGCACAAAGAUCUCUGAAAAAUUGGUCCAUUCUCAGUUCUGGUAAAACAAUCAGUUCUAUUAUGACUUCUUUUCUGUGCAGUGUUGAGUCAUCCAUAACCAAUGCAGCGAAUCUGAAUCAAAUUCAGCCUUCAGCUUAGAUGCCAGAGGAGCUCCAGUUUGUCUUGCCAUAGAUUGAGGGGGCGCCUCCAUCCCCAGUUUCGUCUACGUCAUUGAAAUUGGAGCCCCAGGUCUAAUCUGUGACAAGAGCCUCUCCUCACGUCUUUCCCCACGAUUGGCUACUCGGCCUUUUCCAGGAGUUUCAGCGACAGGAACUCCUUGUCUCUGCUUCCCGAAGCUGUCCAUUCCACUGCUGGGUGACUGCCAUCCUUCGAAAGUUCCUCCUUAUGCUGUGACAGAGUCUAUUUUCAGCCAUGCUUUCUACUUGUGGGAUAACACAAGCACAUACAAUUCUAUUUCUGUGCAUCGAU
rnacentral:lncRNA from 1 species